rnacentral:rRNA from 1 species
CUUGGUCAUUUAGAGGAAGUAAAAGUCGUAACAAGGUCUCCGUUGGUGAACCAGCGGAGGGAUCAUUACCGAGUUUACAACUCCCAAACCCAAUGUGAACGUUACCAAACUGUUGCCUCGGCGGGAUCUCUGCCCCGGGUGCGUCGCAGCCCCGGACCAAGGCGCCCGCCGGAGGACCAACCAAAACUCUUAUUGUAUACCCCCUCGCGGGUUUUUUUUAUAAUCUGAGCCUUCUCGGCGCCUCUCGUAGGCGUUUCGAAAAUGAAUCAAAACUUUCAACAACGGAUCUCUUGGUUCUGGCAUCGAUGAAGAACGCAGCGAAAUGCGAUAAGUAAUGUGAAUUGCAGAAUUCAGUGAAUCAUCGAAUCUUUGAACGCACAUUGCGCCCGCCAGUAUUCUGGCGGGCAUGCCUGUCCGAGCGUCAUUUCAACCCUCGAACCCCUCCGGGGGGUCGGCGUUGGGGAUCGGCCCUGCCUUGGCGGUGGCCGUCUCCGAAAUACAGUGGCGGUCUCGCCGCAGCCUCUCCUGCGCAGUAGUUUGCACACUCGCAUCGGGAGCGCGGCGCGUCCACAGCCGUUAAACACCCAACUUCUGAAAUGUUGACCUCGGAUCAGGUAGGAAUACCCGCUGAACUUAAGCAUAUCAAUAAGCGGAGG